rnacentral:rRNA from 1 species
UGAGGAAUAUUGGUCAAUGGUCGAGAGACUGAACCAGCCAAGUCGCGUGAAGGAUGACUGCCCUAUGGGUUGUAAACUUCUUUUACAAGGGAAUAAAAUGAGAUACGUGUAUUUUAUUGCAUGUACCUUGUGAAUAAGCAUCGGCUAACUCCGUGCCAGCAGCCGCGGUAAUACGGAGGAUGCGAGCGUUAUCCGGAUUUAUUGGGUUUAAAGGGUGCGUAGGUGGGCUGUUAAGUCAGCGGUGAAAGUUUGUCGCUUAACGAUAAAAUUGCCGUUGAAACUGGUAGUCUUGAGUAUAGAUGAAGUAGGCGGAAUGCGUGGUGUAGCGGUGAAAUGCAUAGAGAUCACGCAGAACUCCGAUUGCGAAGGCAGCUUACUAAGGUAUAACUGACACUGCAGCACGAAAGCGUGGGUAUCAAACAGG